ensembl:snRNA U6 U6 spliceosomal RNA
GUGCUCGCUUCUGCAGCACGGAUACUAAAACUGGAAUGAUACAGAGAUGAGCACGGCCCCUGCACAAGGAUGACAUGCAAAUUUGGGAAGCAUUCCAUAUUUUU